UUUAUACUUGUUGUCUGUGUGAUACUUGUAUGUGCCUGGUAGGGAGGUGAGUGUGGGCGAGGUCCCGUAUCUCACCAAUAGCAGAGUGUGGAUGGUGUUCCACAUCUCAGUAGCAGCAGAUCAGGGGCGAGGCCCAAGUUAGGAAAGGAGUGAGGGUGGGCUGGGCCCGUACCUCACUAUCAGCAGGAGUAUGGACGGGGUUCCAUGACUCAUCAGUAGCGGGACAAGGGCGGGGCCCAGAGAUAGGCAAGGCCUUAGGACAAGAUCCGUUAGUAUGUGUUUAGCUUAUGUGAUGUGAUGUGAUAUGUUUAUGUGCUAUUAUAUGUUAGUGGGCGAGGCCCUGUGACAGGCGAGGCCUAAGUGAAACAGAUCUGUAUCCGAGCGGGGCUCGAAGCCAGGCGGGGCCUGGAGCGGCGGGGCCGUUGUAGCGGGCGAGGCCCGAGGUAGGGGGCGAGGCCCAGGAUAGCGGGCGUGGCCCAGUAUGUGCAGUAUGUGGUUAUGCAUGGUAUGUGGUAGGGUGGGGAACUCACUAAGCUUCGUGCUUACGGUUUUCAGUUUUGGUUUCAGGUACUUCCGGUAGCGGAGGGAAGAGCUCGGGGUGAUCGCAUGGCACACACCAUAGAUUAGACAGCCUGGGAAUGUUUACUCUGAUAACGAACAUGUAUUUUGGAAACUAAUACUCUGUUUAUGUUUUGAAAUGAUGAAUUUGCUUAAAGUAAUGUUUUAUUAAAAGAAAUUUUUAGUCUUGAAUUUUGGGACGUUACAAGUUGGUAUCAGAGCCUUGGUUUGAGGGAUUCGGACAUGCUCUCGGGUGUGUCUGAACUCAAACUGAGGAAUUGGUAUAGAAGUUUUCAAAAUGAAAAGACAGUUUUGUAAAAAGAGAGUUUUGGGAAAGAAAACAGUUUUAGAAAGGCAAAAAUAAUUCAGAAAGAAAAGAACUUUGAAAAGAGAAAAAGGGUGUGGUGCAUGCAAUCAACCGAGCUCAAGUAAGUACCCCAAAAUACCCAUACAAGUUUAUGUUAUGAUUAUCAGUUGAUAGAACAGCAUGCUAGAUUAGGACUAAGGAUCUAGGGAUGAUGCCUUAUGUGCCUAUUAUAUGUGUUUUGAGCUGCAUGAUAGUGCUGAUUAGACAGUAGUAGGAUAGCCUGUUUAGGUUAUGCCUGAGUUUAUGAGUUUGUGUUGCAUGCUAGUUCAGAUUCUUGCUAUGUGGAUAUGAUUGCUUGAGUAUGUUGUGGUUAGAUUUUCCCCUUGUCUGAAUGCUGCUUGCUUUGUGCAUUGUGGGAUUUUGAGUGAUGGGAGUUAGCCAUUAGGUGGAUACGUCACGUCACAUGUGAUCAGGGUUGAAUAAUCUCAGAGUGCUGGAUUUGGCCCUAUUGCGCAGCUCUUGUUUGAGUCCAACCGUUGUAGGGACGAGUCUUUUACUUGAAGGAUUAUCUGAGCCUCGUCACAUGUGAUGGUAUCCAGGUGAUGGCUAAUUGGCAUCACAAGGAGACCUUCAGCAGCUGAGGACUGGUUUGAGUUGAGUCAGAGGUUUCCCUAGGGUAAGCCUAGGAUGAGAUAGUGCUGGGAGCAGUAGUAGUGGAUAAGGGACCUGGUGGAGUCAAAGCAAUUCCUGAGGAAAGUACGGAUAGAUGUGGAAGGUAGUAUGGGCCCGUACUACUGAAAGCAGAGGAUCCGUACUCGAUUCGGGAAAGGCCGAGACAAGACCGGGAACCUGGUAGGGUGUGUGUUUGGUCUCGCAGCAAUGAUAAGUAUUCUGAUAGAGGAUGUAUUAUAUUUUCAGCAUGGUGACGUUGCGAGAGAGACCAGUGGGCGGAUCAGGCGCCGGAGAGGGAUCAGGCUCGGGUUCAGGGGCCGAGCAGCUCGAGGAGCGAAUGAGGGAGUUGAUAUCCGCCGAGGUUACGCGCAGUAUUUUGAAUCAGACUCCUGUGAUCUUUGGCACGGUCAAGGAGGGUAUAUUGGAGAUUUUGGAUGAGAGGCUGGGAGCCUUCCGUACUGAGAUGAUGGCUUUGAUGGGAGCGCGUACCUUGACAUUUCGGGAGUUCAGGGCUUGCGGGGCACCAGAUUAUCAUGGGGCUAGGGACCCCAUCGCUAGCAGCAGAUGGUUGGCUGAUGUUGCCAACGCUUUUCGUACGAGCAAGUGUCCUGAGGGGGACAAGGUUAGACUCGUCUCCUGUCUUCUGAAGGACAGAGCGAGGGAUUGGUGGGAGGAGAUUGGUCAUGCUUUGGGGGAUGAUGCCGCGUUGGACGCGAUGACUUGGAGCGAUUUCUCGGCCAGGUUCAGGGCGGAGUUUUCGCCGAUUAUUGAGGUGCAGCAGUUGGCACGGGAGUUUCAGGAUUUGACGCAGACCACUGAGACUGUGGCGGAGAUCACCGCCAAGUUCAGGGAGAGGGCUCUUCUUGUACCGCAGUAUGUCGCGGAUGAGGAGAUGAAGAAGGCCCGAUACCAUGAGAUGUUGAGGGAUGACAUCAGGGAGUUCGUGAGCAGAUCCAGCUGUAAGACGCUGGAAGAUAUGAUUUCUCGGGCUAGAGAGAGGGAAAUUGAUUUGGAGCAGAUCCGGAAGAGGAAGCCGGAUGAGGUUCAGGUAGCUGCAGGUUCGGGCAAAAGGCCCAAGGGAUCGGAUUCGAGAUCGAGGGAUUAUCAGGACCGCAGUCGGUGCGGGAAGUGUGGCAGGGCGCAUGGGGGCGCGUGCAGGAGUGGUAGCGGUGGUGAGUCUGGCUGUUUCAAGUGCGGUCGGACUGGUCAUUUCAGCAGGGAUUGUACUGUUACCAGCACGCAGGGAUCAGACUUGUUAUGUUUUCAUUGCCAUCAGCGGGGCCAAACGAAGGCCCAGUGCCCCAGUUUGUCUUUAGCAGGGUAGGUGAUGGCACCUGCCCCUGCAACUUUGAGGAUCACAGACGGCCGUCAGGGCCGUGCAGAGGCGCCUGCAGUGGGAGGCAGAGCUCUUCAGAUGACUACCUUAGAGGCGCGAUCAGUACCGGACGUUGCAGGUAUGCGAUUUCUGUUUUCAGCUCUUUGAUUUGUGCAUGAUUAUAUUGUUAUGGUUCUGCAUCAUUAUCGGUAUGAGUAUUUUUUUUUGAGUGGUUGAUUGUGAUCGAGUUAUAUACCAUCUGCAUACCUUGGAUGUUCGAAUGGUAGUGAUGGGAUGUGCCCUAUUGGAGAAGGUUACAUAGGAUGCAGUAAUUGUAGCAUGCUUGGGAGGGACUUGGUAUGUCUCGCUAGAUCGGGGUUGUAUAGUGUUAGAAAUGGAUUGGUUAGAUCCCUAGCUAUGGUAAGCUUGGGUUCCUCAGCAGAUUGAUUAUGGAAUGGUAGCAAGGAUUGGGAUUUCUUUUUGAGUAUUGAGCAACAAGGGGUAAGCAGGAUCGAAGUGGGGGAGAAUCCUCCGAGUGUGCAAAGGUAGGAGCACGCAGAUCCAGAAUGAGUGUCCGACCUCCGAGAAGGAAAAGAAGUGGUUCAGCGUUUGAUGGAUUGAGGAUUUCAGGGUUGGGAGUUUGGGAAACUCCCCAUCAGCUAGUGUGGGCGAUGGUAAUGGUUAGUAUGUGGUUGGAAAUUCAGGUUGUGGAUCGCCCAUAGGAUUCGAGGGAGUCGGAAUGAGAUCUUGAGAGCUAAUGGCACAUGGGUGCCUUCGCAUUAGUAGUUAUUGGUAGAAAGUGAUGUAAGACUACGGGGCAGCCGUAGCAUUCACUAGCAGUCAGCAAUGGAUGGUGAUGUAAGACUACGGGUAAGCCGUAGCAUUCCUUAGUAGCUUCGUUAGCGGAGUUGGGGCGAGGCCCUUAUCUCCUAGUGAUCAGAUAGGGAUCAGGAAUGGGUAGUGGAUGAGAAUGAUAGGGAGUUUGCCUGUAUAGCCCUAGAGAGGUGAGACCUUGGGAGAGGCCGCUCCAGGAUAUAGUUGGGUGAGACCCGUGGGCGAGGCCCGUAUGAGAUUAGCAGUGUAGAUGAGACCUGGGAGCAGGGUUGCUCAGUAGUAUGGUUGGGUGAGACCCGUGGGCGAGGCCCGAGCGAGAGUGAUUAGACUAGUGGGACUAGAAGGAUAGAGGCGGGUGGGACCCGUGGGUGAGGCCCGUGAGUUUUAGCAGCGCAGGUGGGACCUGGUAGGGACCUUAGUGUCAAGUUAGGGGAUCGGGGAUCCCAAGAUCGUAGUUCCUGAAGGCAGAAUAGGUUGAGCAAUUAAAGGUGGUCAAAUUUUCUUCGGAAGUCACUGGGAGCGACUAGUGGUGGUGUUGGGACUAGCUACCAGUGGGACCCGGUAAUCCAGACAUUGAUAGGUUGGUAGGGACCAGGGUGGUCUCAAUUCAUAUGGAAGGCAGACAAGGAAUAGCAGAAUUUUCAAUCAGUAGUACUGCGGGUAAGCAGUNGCAGUGUAUGGUGGAAUUCAGUUAAUUGAAUCGAGGGGUGCUCGGCACCAAGUUAUGACAGAGAAAAGAGUGUCAGCGGUUACUGACGGGGAUGACCCGUACUGGAAAUACCGGGGGUGAUGGGGUUGGUGAAGGAUAGGACCUUCACAGUGACAGAGGAAAUAGUUUGAUAUGGAGCAUCACCUUAGGAAGGCAAGGGAAUCGCGUAAGGGAAGAAGGGGUCAACCCCUAUGAGUUCAAGUGCAGUACUCGGAGAAUACCAGAAGGAUUGUCGGUUGAGUAAGUUGUGUUUCUAAGUUGUUCAGGGUCAAGUUUGACCCGAGGUUUUAUCCGCGAGGUUUAUGUUAGUCAGAAUGACCAGGUGGAAGACCAGCGAAGGUAGGCAGCUGGUGUUGGGAUAAUUGGUGGGUUUUGGAAGCAGAUUGCAGGCGGUCGACCAUGGCAAACUUCGAGGACGAAGUUUAGUUUAAGUGGGGGAGAGUUGUCACACCCAAAGUUUUGAAGGCCAAGAAAGGAAAGAAAACCCUAACUUUAAGGGGGGGACUCGACGAGUCGAAGGAAGAACUCGGCGACUCCAAGCGGGAUCCGGGUCGAGGAGUAAGUGACCGACUCGGCGAGUCGGCCAAGGAGACUCGGCGAGUCAAGUCUGUUCGAGGAAAACCCUAAAUCCGGGACCUUGGGCGCUAUUUAAAUUCCUUAUUUUCUCCAUUAGGGUUCCUUAGAGCCUCCCUCAUACAUAAAACGAACCCUAAGCCCUCAUUGUUGUGCAUUCAAGCUUCCAGGUCAUUUUUGGGUCAUUUUGGGUGAAUUGAAGGAAGAAGAAAGAGGGAAAUCAUUGAAAUCCCAAGGAUUGGCCUUAGAUCUGGAGUUUCUGGAACCUUUCUGAUUUCUUGAAGGUAAUAAGUCGUUUCUUUCCUUUAGAUCUUCUUUGGUUGUGAGAUUUGGGGCUUUUUAAGCCAUGGAUAGUCAUCCAUUUGAGUUAGAAGCCGGAUCUGGAGUUGCUACUUCAGAUCCAAGCAUACUAUGGUCUUGAGAAGCAUAAAGUUUCAGCCCUUGAGUUGAUUAUGGAGCCUCCUUGCCUUAAACCCUAGUUUAUGGUGUAUUUUGCCUAGAUCUCCUUCUCUACACGUAAAGUUUGCAACUUUACGUGAGGAAUAGGCUUGGGAAGGGUAGAUCUACGGUUUGGAGUCCAUGCAUGACUCAAAAGUCCUAUGCAUGUAUAGAGAUCUGAAUGGAAUCAGCGAGUCCUUUAAGUGGACUCGGCGAGUAGCAUGAAGAUGAGGAGGAACUCGAUGAGUGGGAUGAACAGCUCGUCGAGUCAGAUGAAAUUGGGUAGGAACUCGGCGAGUUGGAUGAACAACUCGGCGAGUCUGUGGAAGGUUGUCUUGGACUCGGCGAGUCUGUUCUUGGACUCGGCGAGGCAGGGCGCGAAACCCCAAACCCUUCGAGUUGAGACUCGAAUCAGUGAGUCGAGUGGAGAAUCGGUGAGUUGGACAGGUCAGGACUCAGAAAUCGGUAGACUCGGCGAGUCAUGGACUGACUCGGCGAGUCGAGAUGCGAAUGGAAGAACUCUGAAUGUAUGAACUCGGCGAUUCAAUAGGAUGACUCGGCGAGUAGGGUUGACCUGGAAGGUUGACUUUGACCAGGAGUUUGUCUUUGACCGGAGUUGACUUGGUUGACUGUCGGGGGUCAACUAGGCUAAGUGUUGCAUUCAUUUUGGUAGCUUGGGAAGCUCGUGGAGCAGGAGUUCAGAGAGUUGCUUGUCAGCAGCCAGUGGGAUCAUCAGCGAGUUCAGCCAGUGCAGGUGAGUUUCCCUUUGUAUGAAUGGGUCUACGGCCACAAUGCCAGCCCAUGUAGUUAUGAGUAGAAGACCCGGGGGUUAGCCCUAGGCACAAUAUGCUAGUAUGAUAUUCGGGACGAGGUCCAAUGAUAGAGGGCGGGUGCCCAAGGAAUGGUUUAUGUGAUAGUUUAUACUUGUUGUCUGUGUGAUACUUGUAUGUGCCUGGUAGGGAGGUGAGUGUGGGCGAGGUCCCGUAUCUCACCAAUAGCAGAGUGUGGAUGGUGUUCCACAUCUCAGUAGCAGCAGAUCAGGGGCGAGGCCCAAGUUAGGGAAGGAGUGAGGGUGGGCUGGGCCCGUACCUCACUAUCAGCAGGAGUAUGGACGGGGUUCCAUGACUCAUCAGUAGCAGGACAAGGGCGGGGCCCAGAG
rnacentral:lncRNA from 1 species